rnacentral:miRNA from 1 species
GGGAUUCUGUAGCUUCCU